rnacentral:lncRNA from 10 species
GGAGGGGCACAGGCAGCAAGGUCCCUGCUUAAAGACAGUUAUCUAGUUUGGAGAAACUUAGCUGGAUAGUCAGUUCUUACAUGCAUUUGGCAAGCACUUAUCAUACACUGUAAAGAGGCAAUAUGUCUAGCUUGUUAGAGGGUGGGCUGUGGAGUCAGACUCCUGGCUUUGAACCCCAACUUCCCUGCCAUUUUCAAAUGACACUGGAGAAGUCGCAAAACCUAUUUCUGUCUCAGAUUCCUCCCCAGUAAAAGUGGGAUAUUAAUAGUACCUCCUUUGUCUUGAUAUGAAAAUUCAAUGAGUUGAUAUAUGCAGAACAUCUUAGAACAGCAACUAGCUUAGAGUAAAUCUUCAGUAAUU